CGAAAGCCUGACGGAGCAAGACCGCGUGAGGGAGGAAGGCUCUUGGGUUGUAAACCUCUUUUCUCAGGGAAGAAGCUCUGACGGUACCUGAGGAAUCAGCCUCGGCUAACUCCGUGCCAGCAGCCGCGGUAAUACGGAGGAUGCAAGCGUUAUCCGGAAUCAUUGGGCGUAAAGAGUCCGUAGGUGGCUAAUCAAGUCCGAAGUUAAAGACAGAAGCUAAACUUCUGGAAAGCAGCGGAAACUGAAGAGCUAGAGUGUAGGAGAGGUAGAGGGAAUUCCCAGUGUAGCGGUGAAAUGCGUAGAGAUUGGGAAGAACACCAGUGGCGAAGGCGCUCUACUGGACUAAAACUGACACUGAGGGACGAAAGCUAGGGUAGCG
rnacentral:rRNA from 1 species